GGAUGCGAUCAUACCAGCACUAAAGCAACGGAUCCCAUCAGAACUCCGAAGUUAAACGUGCUUGGGCGAGAGUAGUACUAGGAUGGGUGACCUCCUGGGAAUUCCUCGGUGAUAUGCAUUCC
rnacentral:rRNA from 16 species